rnacentral:rRNA from 1 species
AUGUUAGCAAUGGGUAUAAGGGUAUCCAGUGCCCAGCCUUUAUAUUUUUAUCAGGUGUAUUCACCACUAUGCAUGUGUAUAUGUUGUUGGCCUAACUGUAUACAUUUUGUUGGUGUGAUGAUUCAUCCUCUAAAAAUUUAUAUUGUAUCCUCUUGUGCUAGAUGUUUGAGGUUUGGCUUUAAAAAUAAGCUAUUUCUAACGGAAGGUCAAUGGGAGAAAAAGGCAGUGUAUACAUUUUAUUUGGUGCUUAUCUGUGACCUUGCGCACUUAUCUUUAUAUAUGCUCUUCUUCAUAGAUAUCUUCCUGUCGGUUCUCUUAUGA